rnacentral:rRNA from 1 species
UUAAGCGACUAAGCGUACACGGUGGAUGCCCUGGCAGUCAGAGGCGAUGAAGGACGUGCUAAUCUGCGAUAAGCGUCGGUAAGGUGAUAUGAACCGUUAUAACCGGCGAUUUCCGAAUGGGGAAACCCAGUGUGAUUCGUCACACUAUCAUUAACUGAAUCCAUAGGUUAAUGAGGCGAACCGGGGGAACUGAAACAUCUAAGUACCCCGAGGAAAAGAAAUCAACCGAGAUUCCCCCAGUAGCGGCGAGCGAACGGGGAGGAGCCCAGAGCCUGAAUCAGUGUGUGUGUUAGUGGAAGCGUCUGGAAAGGCGCGCGAUACAGGGUGACAGCCCCGUACACAAAAAUGCACAUGCUGUGAGCUCGAUGAGUAGGGCGGGACACGUGGUAUCCUGUCUGAAUAUGGGGGGACCAUCCUCCAAGGCUAAAUACUCCUGACUGACCGAUAGUGAACCAGUACCGUGAGGGAAAGGCGAAAAGAACCCCGGCGAGGGGAGUGAAAAAGAACCUGAAACCGUGUACGUACAAGCAGUGGGAGCACAGAGCAAUCUGUGUGACUGCGUACCUUUUGUAUAAUGGGUCAGCGACUUAUAUUCUGUAGCAAGGUUAACCGAAUAGGGGAGCCGAAGGGAAACCGAGUCUUAACUGGGCGUUAAGUUGCAGGGUAUAGACCCGAAACCCGGUGAUCUAGCCAUGGGCAGGUUGAAGGUUGGGUAACACUAACUGGAGGACCGAACCGACUAAUGUUGAAAAAUUAGCGGAUGACUUGUGGCUGGGGGUGAAAGGCCAAUCAAACCGGGAGAUAGCUGGUUCUCCCCGAAAGCUAUUUAGGUAGCGCCCCGUGAAUUCAUCUCCGGGGGUAGAGCACUGUUUCGGCAAGGGGGUCAUCCCGACUUACCAACCCGAUGCAAACUGCGAAUACCGGAGAAUGUUAUCACGGGAGACACACGGCGGGUGCUAACGUCCGUCGUGAAGAGGGAAACAACCCAGACCGCCAGCUAAGGUCCCAAAGUCAUGGUUAAGUGGGAAACGAUGUGGGAAGGCCCAGACAGCCAGGAUGUUGGCUUAGAAGCAGCCAUCAUUUAAAGAAAGCGUAAUAGCUCACUGGUCGAGUCGGCCUGCGCGGAAGAUGUAACGGGGCUAAACCAUGCACCGAAGCUGCGGCAGCGACACUGUGUGUUGUUGGGUAGGGGAGCGUUCUGUAAGCCUGUGAAGGUGUGCUGUGAGGCAUGCUGGAGGUAUCAGAAGUGCGAAUGCUGACAUAAGUAACGAUAAAGCGGGUGAAAAGCCCGCUCGCCGGAAGACCAAGGGUUCCUGUCCAACGUUAAUCGGGGCAGGGUGAGUCGACCCCUAAGGCGAGGCCGAAAGGCGUAGUCGAUGGGAAACAGGUUAAUAUUCCUGUACUUGGUGUUACUGCGAAGGGGGGACGGAGAAGGCUAUGUUGGCCGGGCGACGGUUGUCCCGGUUUAAGCGUGUAGGCUGGUUUUCCAGGCAAAUCCGGAAAAUCAAGGCUGAGGCGUGAUGACGAGGCACUACGGUGCUGAAGCAACAAAUGCCCUGCUUCCAGGAAAAGCCUCUAAGCAUCAGGUAACAUCAAAUCGUACCCCAAACCGACACAGGUGGUCAGGUAGAGAAUACCAAGGCGCUUGAGAGAACUCGGGUGAAGGAACUAGGCAAAAUGGUGCCGUAACUUCGGGAGAAGGCACGCUGAUAUGUAGGUGAAGUCCCUCGCGGAUGGAGCUGAAAUCAGUCGAAGAUACCAGCUGGCUGCAACUGUUUAUUAAAAACACAGCACUGUGCAAACACGAAAGUGGACGUAUACGGUGUGACGCCUGCCCGGUGCCGGAAGGUUAAUUGAUGGGGUCAGCGCAAGCGAAGCUCUUGAUCGAAGCCCCGGUAAACGGCGGCCGUAACUAUAACGGUCCUAAGGUAGCGAAAUUCCUUGUCGGGUAAGUUCCGACCUGCACGAAUGGCGUAAUGAUGGCCAGGCUGUCUCCACCCGAGACUCAGUGAAAUUGAACUCGCUGUGAAGAUGCAGUGUACCCGCGGCAAGACGGAAAGACCCCGUGAACCUUUACUAUAGCUUGACACUGAACAUUGAGCCUUGAUGUGUAGGAUAGGUGGGAGGCUUUGAAGUGUGGACGCCAGUCUGCAUGGAGCCGACCUUGAAAUACCACCCUUUAAUGUUUGAUGUUCUAACGUGGACCCGUGAUCCGGGUUGCGGACAGUGUCUGGUGGGUAGUUUGACUGGGGCGGUCUCCUCCUAAAGAGUAACGGAGGAGCACGAAGGUUGGCUAAUCCUGGUCGGACAUCAGGAGGUUAGUGCAAUGGCAUAAGCCAGCUUGACUGCGAGCGUGACGGCGCGAGCAGGUGCGAAAGCAGGUCAUAGUGAUCCGGUGGUUCUGAAUGGAAGGGCCAUCGCUCAACGGAUAAAAGGUACUCCGGGGAUAACAGGCUGAUACCGCCCAAGAGUUCAUAUCGACGGCGGUGUUUGGCACCUCGAUGUCGGCUCAUCACAUCCUGGGGCUGAAGUAGGUCCCAAGGGUAUGGCUGUUCGCCAUUUAAAGUGGUACGCGAGCUGGGUUUAGAACGUCGUGAGACAGUUCGGUCCCUAUCUGCCGUGGGCGCUGGAGAACUGAGGGGGGCUGCUCCUAGUACGAGAGGACCGGAGUGGACGCAUCACUGGUGUUCGGGUUGUCAUGCCAAUGGCACUGCCCGGUAGCUAAAUGCGGAAGAGAUAAGUGCUGAAAGCAUCUAAGCACGAAACUUGCCCCGAGAUGAGUUCUCCCUGACCCUUUAAGGGUCCUGAAGGAACGUUGAAGACGACGACGUUGAUAGGCCGGGUGUGUAAGCGCAGCGAUGCGUUGAGCUAACCGGUACUAAUGAACCGUGAGGCUUAACCUU